GAUUAAGUUAUUAAGGGCGCACGGUGGAUGCCUUGGCACUAGAAGCCGAUGAAGGACGUUACUAACGACGAUAUGCUUUGGGGAGCUGUAAGUAAGCUUUGAUCCAGAGAUUUCCGAAUGGGGAAACCCAGCAUGAGUUAUGUCAUGUUAUCGAUAUGUGAAUACAUAGCAUAUCAGAAGGCACACCCGGAGAACUGAAACAUCUUAGUACCCGGAGGAAGAGAAAGAAAAUUCGAUUCCCUUAGUAGCGGCGAGCGAAACGGGAAGAGCCCAAACCAACAAGCUUGCUUGUUGGGGUUGUAGGACACUCUAUACGGAGUUACAAAGGACGACAUUAGACGAAUCAUCUGGAAAGAUGAAUCAAAGAAGGUAAUAAUCCUGUAGUCGAAAAUGUUGUCUCUCUUGAGUGGAUCCUGAGUACGACGGAGCACGUGAAAUUCCGUCGGAAUCUGGGAGGACCAUCUCCUAAGGCUAAAUACUCUCUAGUGACCGAUAGUGAACCAGUACCGUGAGGGAAAGGUGAAAAGCACCCCGGAAGGGGAGUGAAAUAGAACCUGAAACCGUGUGCUUACAAGUAGUCAGAGCCCGUUAAUGGGUGAUGGCGUGCCUUUUGUAGAAUGAACCGGCGAGUUACGAUUUGAUGCAAGGUUAAGCAGUAAAUGUGGAGCCGUAGCGAAAGCGAGUCUGAAUAGGGCGUUUAGUAUUUGGUCGUAGACCCGAAACCAGGUGAUCUACCCUUGGUCAGGUUGAAGUUCAGGUAACACUGAAUGGAGGACCGAACCGACUUACGUUGAAAAGUGAGCGGAUGAACUGAGGGUAGCGGAGAAAUUCCAAUCGAACCUGGAGAUAGCUGGUUCUCUCCGAAAUAGCUUUAGGGCUAGCCUCAAGUGAUGAUUAUUGGAGGUAGAGCACUGUUUGGACGAGGGGCCCCUCUCGGGUUACCGAAUUCAGACAAACUCCGAAUGCCAAUUAAUUUAACUUGGGAGUCAGAACAUGGGUGAUAAGGUCCGUGUUCGAAAGGGAAACAGCCCAGACCACCAGCUAAGGUCCCAAAAUAUAUGUUAAGUGGAAAAGGAUGUGGCGUUGCCCAGACAACUAGGAUGUUGGCUUAGAAGCAGCCAUCAUUUAAAGAGUGCGUAAUAGCUCACUAGUCGAGUGACACUGCGCCGAAAAUGUACCGGGGCUAAACAUAUUACCGAAGCUGUGGAUUGUCCUUUGGACAAUGGUAGGAGAGCGUUCUAAGGGCGUUGAAGCAUGAUCGUAAGGACAUGUGGAGCGCUUAGAAGUGAGAAUGCCGGUGUGAGUAGCGAAAGACGGGUGAGAAUCCCGUCCACCGAUUGACUAAGGUUUCCAGAGGAAGGCUCGUCCGCUCUGGGUUAGUCGGGUCCUAAGCUGAGGCCGACAGGCGUAGGCGAUGGAUAACAGGUUGAUAUUCCUGUACCACCUAUAAUCGUUUUAAUCGAUGGGGGGACGCAGUAGGAUAGGCGAAGCGUGCGAUUGGAUUGCACGUCUAAGCAGUAAGGCUGAGUAUUAGGCAAAUCCGGUACUCGUUAAGGCUGAGCUGUGAUGGGGAGAAGACAUUGUGUCUUCGAGUCGUUGAUUUCACACUGCCGAGAAAAGCCUCUAGAUAGAAAAUAGGUGCCCGUACCGCAAACCGACACAGGUAGUCAAGAUGAGAAUUCUAAGGUGAGCGAGCGAACUCUCGUUAAGGAACUCGGCAAAAUGACCCCGUAACUUCGGGAGAAGGGGUGCUCUUUAGGGUUAACGCCCAGAAGAGCCGCAGUGAAUAGGCCCAAGCGACUGUUUAUCAAAAACACAGGUCUCUGCUAAACCGUAAGGUGAUGUAUAGGGGCUGACGCCUGCCCGGUGCUGGAAGGUUAAGAGGAGUGGUUAGCUUCUGCGAAGCUACGAAUCGAAGCCCCAGUAAACGGCGGCCGUAACUAUAACGGUCCUAAGGUAGCGAAAUUCCUUGUCGGGUAAGUUCCGACCCGCACGAAAGGCGUAACGAUUUGGGCACUGUCUCAACGAGAGACUCGGUGAAAUCAUAGUACCUGUGAAGAUGCAGGUUACCCGCGACAGGACGGAAAGACCCCGUGGAGCUUUACUGUAGCCUGAUAUUGAAAUUCGGCACAGCUUGUACAGGAUAGGUAGGAGCCUUUGAAACGUGAGCGCUAGCUUACGUGGAGGCGCUGGUGGGAUACUACCCUAGCUGUGUUGGCUUUCUAACCCGCACCACUUAUCGUGGUGGGAGACAGUGUCAGGCGGGCAGUUUGACUGGGGCGGUCGCCUCCUAAAAGGUAACGGAGGCGCUCAAAGGUUCCCUCAGAAUGGUUGGAAAUCAUUCAUAGAGUGUAAAGGCAUAAGGGAGCUUGACUGCGAGACCUACAAGUCGAGCAGGGUCGAAAGACGGACUUAGUGAUCCGGUGGUUCCGCAUGGAAGGGCCAUCGCUCAACGGAUAAAAGCUACCCCGGGGAUAACAGGCUUAUCUCCCCCAAGAGUUCACAUCGACGGGGAGGUUUGGCACCUCGAUGUCGGCUCAUCGCAUCCUGGGGCUGUAGUCGGUCCCAAGGGUUGGGCUGUUCGCCCAUUAAAGCGGUACGCGAGCUGGGUUCAGAACGUCGUGAGACAGUUCGGUCCCUAUCCGUCGUGGGCGUAGGAAAUUUGAGAGGAGCUGUCCUUAGUACGAGAGGACCGGGAUGGACAUACCUCUGGUGUACCAGUUGUCGUGCCAACGGCAUAGCUGGGUAGCUAUGUAUGGACGGGAUAAGUGCUGAAAGCAUCUAAGCAUGAAGCCCCCCUCAAGAUGAGAUUUCCCAACUUCGGUUAUAAGAUC
rnacentral:rRNA from 1 species